GUAUCCUACGGGACGCAGCAGUAGGGAAUUUUCGUCAAUGGGCGCAAGCCUGAACGAGCGAUGCCGCGUGAGUGAAGAAGGCCAUCGGGUCGUAAAGCUCUGUUGCGGGGGAAAAAAGGCAGCAUCAGGAAAUGGGUGCUGACUGAUGGUGCCCCGCCAGAAAGUCACGGCUAACUACGUGCCAGCAGCCGCGGUAAUACGUAGGUGGCGAGCGUUAUCCGGAAUGAUUGGGCGUAAAGGGUGGGCAGGCGGUCCUG
rnacentral:rRNA from 1 species